UUAUACCACAAAUGUCAGAAGUCUUGAUGUCCUAUUUUGAAAGAGAAGUUAUUUAAGAAUAACCAUGUUUGAAACCUGGAAAUGGUUUGGGAUUAAGGUCUUUCAACAGAAGAUUCCUAUGAAGUUUACUGGGAAACUAAUGCCUAGAAAGUUACUGAGAGAUGACUGUUGCAGUUUCCAAUUUAACUGGAAGCAAUUUACCUCCGACACUAGCUGACUUAAAUGGACAGGAUAUGUCACGUUCCCCAGCAAAUACCUGUUACCUGCAGGAGAAAUGCAGCCUUCAAAGAAUUCCCAUG